GACGAACGCUGGCGGCGUGCCUAAUACAUGCAAGUCGAACGCACGGGGGACGGGUGCGUAACACGUGGCUAACCGCCCAUCAGAGGGGAUAACACUUGGAAACAGGUGCUAAACCGAUAUGGGUGGAUGGACCCGCGGGGGAUUAGCUAGUUGGUGGGGUAACGGCUCACCAAGGCCACGAUGCAUAGCCGGCCUGAGAGGGUGAUCGGCCACACUGGAACUGAGACACGGCCCAGACUCCUACGGGAGGCAGCAGUAGGGAAUCUUCGGCAAUGGGCGAAAGUCUGACCGAGCAACGCCGCGUGAGUGAAGAAGGUUUUCGGGUCGUAAAGCUCUGUUGUUGGAGAAGCGGUAUCUAACCAGAAAGCCACGGCUAACUACGUGCCAGCAGCCGCGGUAAUUC
rnacentral:rRNA from 1 species